rnacentral:rRNA from 1 species
AGUGAACGCUGGCGGUAGGCCUAACACAUGCAAGUCGAACGGCAGCACAGUAAGAGCUUGCUCUUACGGGUGGCGAGUGGCGGACGGGUGAGGAAUACAUCGGAAUCUACUUUUUCGUGGGGGAUAACGUAGGGAAACUUACGCUAAUACCGCAUACGACCUACGGGUGAAAGCAGGGGAUCUUCGGACCUUGCGCGAUUGAAUGAGCCGAUGUCGGAUUAGCUAGUUGGCGGGGUAAAGGCCCACCAAGGCGACGAUCCGUAGCUGGUCUGAGAGGAUGAUCAGCCACACUGGAACUGAGACACGGUCCAGACUCCUACGGGAGGCAGCAGUGGGGAAUAUUGGACAAUGGGCGCAAGCCUGAUCCAGCAAUGCCGCGUGGGUGAAGAAGGCCUUCGGGUUGUAAAGCCCUUUUGUUGGGAAAGAAAAGCAGCAGGUUAAUACCCCGCUGUUCUGACGGUACCCAAAGAAUAAGCACCGGCUAACUUCGUG